UACAGAGGGGGCAAGCGUUGUUCGGAAUUACUGGGCGUAAAGGGCUCGUAGGCGGCCAACUAAGUCAGACGUGAAAUCCCUCAGCUUAACUGGGGAACUGCGUCUGAUACUGGAUGGCUUGGAUCCGGGAGAGGGAUGCGGAAUUCCAGGUGUAGCGGUGAAAUGCGUAGAUAUCUGGAGGAACACCGGUGGCGAAGGCAGCCCCCUGGGUUAACACUGACGCUCAUGCACGAAAGCGUGGGGAGCAAACAGG
rnacentral:rRNA from 1 species